AAAAAGAAGGAGCUGCCUAGCUCCUUCUAAAUUGGCCUAAUUCAUAUAUUACAGCUGCCAGUUAGAUUGCUAAUACCUACAAUAUGUGUUCUUGUUCUCCUUUGUUUUGUUAUACUAUGUUGGUAUUAGAAGAAAAACUAUAAUUUUUUCCAAUAUUAUGGUCUUAUUAGAACACUAGAAUGAAGCAGAUAACCAUCUGUUAAUAGUGUUAAUAGUGUGUGUUUGCUUUUAUAUGUGUAUAUCUAUAUCUGGUUCAAUUCUUGGCUACAUUAUUUAAAUUUUAUCUCCCUCUACUUGUUUGAAAGUAUGAAUUCUAGCAUAUAACCACAGUUUCCUCUCUAUUAUGGUAAAUAGGUCAUUUGUGAUCUGAACUAGACCCAUCUUGACCAUCAGCCAUUUCUAGAUUACCAUGUAAUUAUCAGCCACCUUACAUAGAGUUAGCUGAGAAUGGCUGGUACGGCCUGCUUGUAGGAUCUAUGAUCAGUAGCCUGCAGGUGAAUUUGUAGCUGGUUUCUACGGAUUAUCUCACUAGGGUUUGGGAAAGUCUUGGAGAUAAUAGAUCUGUGAUUGCUUUUUCUUUGAGUUCAGUCUCAGAUUCUCUGCAGUGGAGUUACGCGAGUCUGAUUUUGUCUGGGCCAUCUUUGAUAUCCUUGCUGGGGUCAGAAUGAACCAAAAUGCAUACCUAAGGAGCAUCUCCUGAAUACAUUUCUUGUUAAUGUUUUAUAUUAUCUGUCAACUGACCAGUGAGACUGCAAAAGGAAAACUAGGAGUUUCUGAUAUUCGCUUUUUUUUUUUUUUUCAUGGAGAGAAUUAACAGAUUGGCUACACCUCUUGACAAGAGGAAGGUUUUUGGAAUGAAAGUGAGGUCCAAGUCCUAGAUUGGCAGAGAGAAUCUGCUAAUCAUAGCAUCAUAUCUGCUGAUCUGCUGAAUAAGAUCAGCAGAUGAAAGAAAUAAAACUUAGCAGGAGGCAACUUGUGUACAACAAACAGGUGCACUAUUGUAGGUACACUGAAUUGGGUUAUUCACUGAGGAUCUGAAUUAUGUUAGCAGUCAUAUUGCUGUUGAUUUAAGAGACACAAUUGUCAUGAAAGAAGAAAUGGUCGUUGUAGUAAACAAUCUGAAGCCACAAUAGAAUUGGCUGUAAAUUUUCUGUUGUCAGUGAACAAAGCAAGUAUGAUU
rnacentral:lncRNA from 1 species